AUAAUAUUGAGCAGAAACAAUGAGAGGACAGGACAUCAGAGAUUGAUGUUGUGUGUGUGAACCAUGUUUGUAUGUUUUUAGGUUUUAAGUUGUUUUUGUUGGUUUCAUUAAAGUGAUUUGAGACCAUCAAAAUGAAACAUUCUGUUAAAGCCCAACUCUCAUUUUAUUCUGAUGUGUACAUUAUAUGUUGAUGACUCUAUUCUUUAAUGGGGAAAAUCCAUCAACCAUAUCAACCAAAGUAACUUCAUCACUGAUAUCAUUUCUAGAGGCUGAUGAAAGGUUGGAAAUGCUGCACCAUCCUUAUGAUUUCCCAAAAAGGUGUCCUUCUUUCCCGCGGUGCUACGCCCUGAAAGUACACUUAUAGUUUUAGCAAAUUACAAGAGGAUCAUUAUUAUUAUUUAACAGUUGGAAGGUGGAUAUGGUGAAUGAUGGAUGAUGAUGGAGAGAAAGAUCAGUGAGCGUUGAUUUAAGAGAGGUGGAGGAAGAGAUGGAGAAGUGGAACAGAAUGGAAUGGAGGCCAGGUGGAGAAAGGAGGGAUGUGGAAGCGACUGUUGUCCAGCCUGCUGAACCCCCAGCAGCCUCGUGCGCACUCUUGUCAGCAGAAUGUUUCCUGUUUCUGGUCACCCAGGACCAGGAGCCUUUUUUCUUUUUCUCCGGCUCUUUCUCCCAUUUUAUUUUUUUCUUCUUUUUCCUUUCUUUGCUUUUUUUCUUGGCCUCCUCCUCGUCGCCUGAUGUGGAUCUGAAGAGCCUGAAGCUUUUUUCUUUUUCUUCUGAUGUUCCACGAGUUCUGUUUUUGUUCCACAGUUUAUUAUUUUAAACUACAUUAUUUAUUUUAUUCUUCGGCUAAAACACUGCACAAUUUUGCAGCUGUUCUGUCUUGUCCUUUUGAGUUUCUCUGUUUUUUUAUAUUUUGCCUCUCAUUGUAUGUUUUGAGUAUUUCAGAAUUUCUGGCCUCCACUUCUUUGUGCUUUUUUACCAGUUUUUCGUAAUCUUGCACUUGUUUUAUUUUCUCCUGCUGCAUUUCUGUUCUGCAGCUGUUGGUUCUUCAUCUCAAAUGCUUUACAUUUCUGCUGCAGUUCUUGUUUUUCUUCUAUUUGUUUGCUUUGCUGAAAUUGCUUGUAGUCAUGUGUAUCAUGAUCAUGAUGUAUCAUGUAUUGUGUGUGCAUCUUUCAACUUCGCUUCCAGCUCUGCCACUUCCAGAUGCAUCUUUCCCUCCAUUAUUUGGUAUAUGUGCUCCAGCUGUUUAUGUUUUUCUUCCAGCUGUGCAUGCUGACUUUUUAUGCUGUCCAUCUCUUGUAGCUGCAUAAAGAUUAUUCUUCUCUUCCAGAUCUUUGUAUUUGUGCUCCAAUUCUUGCAUCUCUUCCAGAUGUUUUUUAUUCUGAAAUUACUUCUGUUCUUUUCGAACACAACUUGGAUGUGUGCAUUGUUAAGGUUUUACCAUAUCCACGUUCUCAUGCUUCAAUAUAUGGUUUUCCUCUUCUAGCUGUUUGUUUUUUUCCUCAAGUAGCUUACAUUUCCCCCCCAUGUUUUUCUAAAAUCUGCAAAGGUAUCUGCAUGAAAGAAAUUUCUUACAGAGGUUUUACAGAGGUUACAGAGGUUUUAUUAGAGACAUAGGUAAUUGUCUUGCAAUUUGACAUAAUUUGUAAAAGUUAAAAAAUUUCUUUAGUAUUGAAAAGCAGAAAUUAGGCUUUCUUGUCAGAGGUCAUUUUUGGGGAAAACACGAAAAGAAAACCACCGACCGACAACAUUGUAC
ensembl:lncRNA